rnacentral:rRNA from 1 species
GACGAACGCUGGCGGCGUGCUUAACACAUGCAAGUCGAACGGUGAAGCGCCUUCCUUUUUGGUGGGUGUGGAUGAGUGGCGAACGGGUGAGUAACACGUGAGUAACCUGCCCCCUUCUUCUGGAUAACCGCAUGAAAGUGUGGCUAAUACGGGAUAUUCUGGGUCUGUCGCAUGAUGGGUCUGGGAAAGAUAUUGUUUCGGUGGGGGAUGGGCUCGCGGCCUAUCAGCUUGUUGGUGGGGUGAUGGCCUACGAAGGCGGUGACGGGUAGCCGGCCUGGGAGGGUGGACGGUCACACUGGGACUGAGACACGGCCCAGACUCCUACGGGAGGCAGCAGUGGGGAAUAUUGCACAAUGGGCGCAAGCCUGAUGCAGCGACGCCGCGUGAGGGAUGGAGGCCUUCGGGUUGUGAACCUCUUUCGCCAGUGAAGCAGGCCUGCCUCGUUUGUGGGUGGGUUGACGGUAGCUGGAGAAGAAGCGCCGGCUAACUACGUG